ACCCACCUAAUAAAAAAUUAUCUCCCUCUCAAAUAAAAACGCUUUUAAGUUUCCCUCUCAAACAAAAGCUAAACACACGGUUCUUCUCAUCGUUUCCGCCACUAGGGUUUUAUUUCAGACAAAAGCUUUUAAGUUUCCCUCUCCUCGCUCCAGGGAUGACCCCCCACCCCUACCAUUCUUGUUCUUCUACUCUUUCAGAUCUAUAGUUUUCUUUUUGCAACCCUUUUUCUUUCUACAGAUGUUCUCACCGGCGACGACCAUUUGUGAGGCGAGAGCAGCGGCGGUGAGUUUUUGCUUCGGGUUUGACACAAGCGGCGAGGGCUUCAAUAGUAGCUUCCCAAUCGCUCAGCCCCUGUCGCUCUGUGACUGCCGCCUCUAGUAGUCCAUUCUCAGGUCGAUCUAUAUAAUUGGAGGGGAUGGAACUCAAAAAGGAGCAGCUGCUAUCUAUGAGGUAGUUAUAAAUUAGCCAAAGAGGAAUCUUAAGCUUUCUUUGUACACUCCAGUUAGUGAGACAAUGUUGCAACGUAAUUCAAAGCAAAAGAGUAAAAGACUGAUGUCCCAACCUCUCGUAGUAGAUGACCUCGAAUUGAAUGAUGACGCGGUUUUCUUUGCAAGAGGAAUAGAUCAAAGUUUCUAACUUUUUUUUUUUUUUGUGAUGCUACUUGUGCGUAUAAAUGUAGGAUGUAUUUUGAUUUAUAAAGUAGUAUUUUAGAAUUGGAAACUAGUUUUUUUGAGGUGGAUAUUAGAAUGAAAACAUUGUCUAAUUAAAUUUGCUAUUGAAAUGUAUAAAUCUUUGUAGUGAUAUUGUAUUGUUAUGCAAUU